AGGGAGCUGCCGGGUUUGUUAGGUAAGAUCAACCCCUGGGCCGAUAAGCACUCCUUAGGGAACUGGCUCUGUCGUGGCCCUGGUCACGUUAACUGGUGCCCACCUGUUCAAGCAGGUCUAGGAGGGUAGACAGAAACCGACGGCUCGGUGGCUCUUUU
rnacentral:other from 1 species